rnacentral:rRNA from 1 species
GAUGAACGCUGGCGGCGUGCUUAACACAUGCAAGUCGAACGGAAACGCCAGUGCUUGCACUUGUGCUCGAGUGGCGAACGGGUGAGUAACACGUGUGCGAUCUGCCCUGCACUUUGGGAUAAGCCUGGGUAACUGGGUCUAAUACCAGAUAGGAUCAUGCCUUGGGUGGUGUGGUGGAAAGUUUUUUGGGUGUGGCAUGAGCUUGCGGCCUAUCAGCUUGUUGUGGGGGUAAUGGGCUACCAAGGCGUCGGCGGGUAGCCGGACUGUGAGGGUGUACGACGGCAUUGAGACUGAGAUGCGGCACAGACUCCGAAGAGAGGAAGCAGUGGGGAAUAUUGAACAAUGGGUGCAAGGUGGGUGCAGAGAGGCCGCGUGGUGGAUGACGGCCUUCGGGUGGUAAACUACUUUCGCGACUGACGAAGCUUUUUGUGACGGUAGGUUGAGAAGAAGCACCGGCUAACUACGUG